rnacentral:lncRNA from 1 species
GAAAACAAAUUAAUAAUUAGCAAAUUAUUGUAUAAAUAAAUACCUGAUCUAUAUUUUUAUUUCAGAGUGCAUCUUUAUCCAGCAGUGGUCUUACUUAUGGCCAGUCUGUCCCUUCAAGCAGUUCAGAUUCCAGUAAGAAGGUAGUGGUUGUUGCCAACAGCAACCCUUUUCCACCUGUGGUAAGCUGUUUUUCUCUACAAUACAUGUUUUCUCUACAAAUCAUUUUGACUCAAAAACUUUAAAAUAUCUAAGUAUUUAAUUUUUCAGAAAUAUUACAGGAGACAAUUUUUUGGCAGGCAGGAUUUACUCUAUGUGUAUAGUUAUCUUCAGGGAAGGCUUAUCAUAAGAUAGGUACAAACUUUGUGGUACUGUGAUUGCUGUUAAUACUUGUAGGGACAAUGGAUUAACUGCAGACAUCAGGUCCCUCCAUGUAUGCAGUCUCUGUGUUCCUGAAUAAUUUUUGAUUUUCUUUUUCUAUUGCAAUUUUCUUCUGAAAGUUCACUUCCAUUCUCAUUUUUAAAUUAUUACAUUUCCACUCUGCUUACUUGGAACCAAGACUAAGUUUAGCGUUCAGGUACUUGAAAGUGAGCUUUAUAAUGUAAUAUUUUAUAUAUGUUUAAUUUCUAAUAGAACAUAUUGUUCUAACCUGAAUAAAGGUUAAGAUGCACUUGCUCUCUAUCA